rnacentral:rRNA from 1 species
UACGAGGGGUCCAAGCGUUGCUCGGAAUCAUUGGGCGUAAAGCGGGUGUAGGCGGCUCUAUAAGUCAGAAGUGAAAGCCCCGAGCUUAACUUGGGAAGUGCUUUUGAUACUGCAGAGCUUGAAUGUGGGAGAGGGUAGUGGAAUUCCAGGUGUAGUGGUGAAAUACGUAGAUAUCUGGAGGAACACCGGUGGCGAAGGCGGCUACCUGGCCCAACAUUGACGCUGAGACCCGAAAGCAUGGGGAUCAAACAGG